UCCAUUCCAAUAUUUAAGUUGGUUGUGGGACCAGGUAGAGCUCCUGGGGCACCAGUAGCCGGUAUUGGCAUGACGGACAUUGUCUGGUUCAUGAUUGUAUUAGGCAUACUCUGUCCUACGUUCUGAGGGCAAUGCACAGAACCACCAUUCUGAGAUGCAUCAGCUUCAACAGAAUCUUGCCUUCCACCUGACAUCAUUUGUGAGUCAUUCUGAGAAUUUGCAUCACUUCCUUCACUUGUACCUUCACUUGCACUCUCAGCACUUUUAGAAUAAGCUCCAUUAGCAGACGCUCCAGAUGUUUUACCAAUCUCAUUACUCUUCCCUGUAAUCAUGUUUAAACUGCCCAAACUUCCUUUGGACCUUUUAAUGGGCAAUUUUUCCUUCACGUCAGAUGGCUUUCCAUCAGCUUCUGUGCUACCAGGUGUAUAUCCAGAUGUCUCAUUGAUACCAUUCGGUGAAGGCAUUGCAAAAGGACUAAAAGGGUAAGAUCCCGGAGGAAUAGAUGGAUGAGCAUAUAAGCCACCAUGAGGAUACAUUGCAACAUAUGGAUGUGGUGGCGUACCAUAUGGAGGCAUGAUAUGCUGAACCCCCCACAUAUAAGGAUGAGCUUGGGGACUUGAUGCCAAGAACCCAUGUGGAGGUAUAGGAGAGUAUGCCUGAAAUCCCGUCCAGUCAGGAUUUACAGCACCAGUGCUGGUGGUUGAAGACUGCUCCUGCGCAGUGGUGCCAGCAAGGGCCUUUGCCUCUUUCUCCUUUGCUGGUUUAUCCAUAUCACUGCUGCCCAUAGUUAAACAAUCUUUUCAAUAAUUCUUCAAACCAUCCUGCAGACUUAAAAGCGUAUCACUUAACCGAAAACCAACAAAACAAAACCUUAAUUCGAUUGAUGGAAACCUGUCAGUUGUUAGAACCUCAAAAGAGCAAAAUCGAAUCCUGAUCCA
rnacentral:misc_RNA from 1 species